rnacentral:sRNA from 1 species
AGAAAGAAAUAAAAUCAUAUUUGCUCAUAUUUGCUCAAGGAAUAAUAGGAAAUCCUAACCUCAGUUGUUCCGAGUACAUGGUUGAUUUGCUGAAGGGUAAACCUUUUCAUCUCGGUCCUCUUGAAAUUCACCUUGCACAUCCUUGGACAACCGGCAUGUGCACCCUCUUUUUCUUCUAUGAAUCUUUCCCUAAGUGAUGGAAUGGCCUCAAAUGCUAAAAACUACACAAAACACAUGAAAUUUAAUUGUUAGCUUCAAUUACGAAAAUGUAACAAGGAUAAAACAAAAGACUUACCUCAAGCGGCACACAGAAUCCGGGAACAGGCCAUGGUGACUGAAUGUUUGGGACGACACCGUUAAAAUGAUCCAAUGUGUGUGAGAUCGAUUUUAACAUGUACUCAAAUGAAUAUCUCCCCCAUGGAAAUGUCUUACAAAACGUAAGAUCACUUGCAGCCCUAACACAGAAAUCAUCAAUUGGACUAGCCCUUUCUCCAGUCUUAGUAGGCACGACAAUGCUGCUUGUUAGAAAAUAGAGGACCGCCAUCCGCAACCUAUCCUUUGAUCUAGCCGGUUCCAUCUCCAUUAGCUUGGUUUUUACGUCUUCACGUCUAAUUACCCCGGUUUUGAAGUACCUGUUGGCGAAGUUCAUAUUACCAGCACUCUAAUAAUUAGCUGGAUAGGCCUUGCAGUUGAAACCAGAGAUCAAAGCAUGCUCCCUAAUACCAUAGCGGAUGGGAACUCCAUUAACAACGAACCAAACCUCCUUCUUCUUCUCAAUAGAUGUCGUUCGAAGAAAAAGCAUCCACAUCCUCAUUAACUUGUGGGUAUAUCCGGAAGGUAGGUGAUAGAUGUGCUUGAAACUCGGAUGCUCCAUAAAAUAAUUAUUUUCAACAUUCGUUAGAGGAUGUUCCAAGUCAGCGAAGGUCUUCAACACCUCCGAGAUAUAACACCUCGUUGCUAACUUCAUCUUCUUGGUAUACUCCGACGCCGGGAAGUACAUACCAAGUGGCUGCAUUGCCAUCGCUUCCUCCAUAUCCUGAAAGAAACAAACAUUCAUUCAUAUAUCACUCAAUUGUAAAUAGUAUGCCACAUUAUUACUCUGUAUUUCCAAAAAGUAUUCCCCGAAAUUACCAGUAUUACACAAAUCGUACUAUUCAUAUAUCACUCAAUUGUAAAUAGUACUGCCACAUUAUUACUCUGUAUUUCCAAAAAGUAUUCCCCGUAAUUACCAGUAUUACACAAAUCCUACUGUUCAUAUUUCACUCAAUUGUAAAUAGUACUGCCACAUUAUUACUCUGUAUUUCCUACAAGUAUUCCCCGUAAUUACCAGUAUAACACAGAUACUCCUAUUUUACUAUAUAGUAUUUCUCAAAGUUACUAGUACUAACUACUGAUAAAUCACAAUUGUAGUAUUACUCUAAGGUAUUACCCACAUCCGCCAAUAUUACCUAAAUAUCAACAUAGCAUUUCCCAAUGUUACUAGUACUGUCCACAGUUCACAAUUGCAUUAUUACCCAAUUAGAUCGGUAUUACGAAAUGGAAUACUUACCACAUUUGCGAUGUCCUCGUCUAUGGUCCUCUCCUCCACGGGUUUUUCCACUAUCACGUCCUCGUCUCUCUCGUCCUCGUCUCCCUCAUCCUCCACGGACUUUUCCACAUUGACGUCCUCGUCGCUCGCGGAGCUCCUCUCCUCCUCCUCCUCGAUAACGGCUAGGCCGUCAUCUUGUCUCUCCGCCUCUUCCACGGGAUUAGCACACGCGAGUUCUUUGUUUGUCUCCGUCUCCUCUGAAUCGGAAUCGGAGCCCAAGGUUUGGCUACUACUCCCUGAUUAUUCUUCUUCACUUCCUUCUUCUUUUUCAUUUUCAUCUUCCACCUCAUCAGUUUGCAUAUUCUCUUGAGUUUCUUCAGCCGGAAUAUGCUUCAGAGCAUCAUAAAACGUAGAAUCAUCAAGCAUCGGGCUCUCCGUCGUUGGAGCCGUCGUUGGAGCCGUUGUCGUUAGAGCCGCUGUCGUUGGAGCCGCAUUGGUUGCCAUCGCCGUCGCAAUCGUUUGUGCCGUCGCAGUCGUCUUCGCCGGCGCCUGAACCUUCGCUUUCUUCGCCGGCGCCUGAACCUUCUCUUUCUUCGCCGGCGCCUGAACCUUCGCUUUCUUCGCCGGCACCUUCUCCUUCACUUUCUCCGCCGGCGCCUUAACUUUCUCUGUCUUCGUCGGCGCCGGCGCUUCUAUCUCCUUUCUUUUCCCUUGACCUCCUCCACGCGUCUUAGGCGGCAUGACUGAUUUCGAAUCGGAAAUAGAACGGAAAUACUGGUGAAAGCAAGAAGAACGCUCGAUUGAAUUUAAAGAAAUAGGGAAUGUUGUGGUUAAUUUCAGCGGUUACUAAGGAGAAGAAGUCAAAAAAUCGAAAACGGUUGUAAUGAGAACAAGAAACAAUUUCGAAUUGGAAAAUCCCUGGAAAUAUUAAGGUUUUUUUUAUUUGAUUUUCAAAUAAAGAGUAAAAGUGGUUCGGGUGGUUUGGUUCGGAAACGAACCAUGAUUUUUCUGGUAAUUAAUAGGUUCGGAUAAGGAUAUACUAGUAAUAUCCAUCUAUUUCGAAUUAAGAAAAAAUAAAUAAAUUAU